rnacentral:lncRNA from 1 species
AUGCUUACAACAACUUGUAAAGUAAUUAUUGUUUUCUUUUUUGUGUGGACAUGGAUCAAUAACAACAAGUAUCGGAUAAGAAAUAUACUAAGACCAAACUGUGACAGAUCACUGGCACAAUGUGACAUUUUUCCAAACAAACAAAAUGACCAUCCUUAUGUAUCACACAAUGAAAAUAAUUUCCUUUAUAAACAGUUCUAUCCCCAUAUUAAAGAUAAUGAUCUAAAUAUAAAUGUUCCAAUUAUGAGAUAUGAUGAAUAUAUAUCAAUUUUGUUAAGUUAUAUUAAAAAAGGAGUAAUUGAAAAACUAUCUAACCUAAACGAUCCUCAAAUAAAGAAUGUAUUAAACAAUAAUAAAAACAUACAACAAAAAGAUUUAAUACAAGUAUAUGAAAUUUUUGAACAUGUCAUGUCAAGUGACGAAUAUUUACACAUUGUAAAAAAAAGUUGUGAAUCAUUACAAAGUACAAGCUUGGCCUACAAUCACCUUGCUGAAACAUACUACAACUCGAUGUUAUAUUUAUUCAAUAUGUAUUUUGUUCUUACUAACCGUAAAAAAUAUUUUAAAAAGUGCUUUAUGCAAUUACAACAAAAUAAUCAAGAACAACAAAUAUUUAAAAAGAAACGAUUCAAAUUCAAAGCGAAAUAUUUAAACAUAUUUAAACUCAGUAAAAAAAUAGAUAAACAUUUUAGAAUUAAAUUACUUAAAGAAGCUAUAAGAGAAGAAAUAGAUCCAUAUAUGGAAUUUUCAACUAAAAAACGUUUUAUGUUUUUUUCUUAUACAUCCUUUAUUCCUGCAGUAGUAAUAACGAUUUAUGCUUUCACCGCAUUUACUGCGUCAGCUCCUUUAGCAGCCAUACUACUAGGACUGUAUUUAUUGACAUAUCUACAUUCUUUAUAUAAAUUUUAUAAAAAUAUAGAUUUUAUAAACCGAAUUAUACACGGGUCACAACUCUCAAACAUAGAAUAUUUUAUUUAAUAAUAAAUAUGAUAAAACAAGUUAUAACA